UCACGAAGUGAACGGACUGAGAAGAGCAAGGGGAACAGGAAGCAGGCCUCUGAGCCCAAGCUAAGCCAUCAUAUCUCCUGUGACCUGCACGUAUACAUCCAGAUGGCCUGAAGUAACUGAGGAAUCACAAAAGAAGUGAAAAUGCCCUGUUCCUGCCUUAACUGAUGACAUUACCUUGUGAAAUUCCUUCUCCUGGCUCAUCCUGGCUCAAAAGCUCCCCCACUGAGCACCUUGUGACUCCCACCCCUGCCAGCCAGAGAACAACCCCCUUUGACUGUAAUUUUCCAUUACCCAAAUCCUAUAAAACAGCUCCACCCCAUCUCCCUUCAUUGACUCUCUUUUUGAACUCAGCCUGCCUGUACCCAGGUGAUAAAAAGCUUUAUUGCUCACACAAAGACUGUUUGGUGGUCUCUUCACAAGGACGCAAGUGAAAUUAUUAUUUAAGCCUUCCAACAUAUCUAAUAUCUGAACCUCAACUCUUCAUCUUACUAGCUAAAUGACAUCAGGGGAACAACUUAUUAACCUCUCUAAGUCUGUUUAUUCACCUGUGGGUAAUACCAUUAACAUCUCCUUAAUAGAUUUGUGGUAAUAAUUGAAUGAGGUCUUCAGUGUAGAGAGCUAAACACUAUGCCCAUUUAAAAAGUGAUUGCUGCUGCUCUAUCUUCCCAGCCCAGGGGGUUCUUGGACAUUCUCCCCGUGAUGAGUGCCCCUCUUCUGAAGUGGGGGUAGAAUGUAGUGGUUUCUUAAAGAGGAUCACUCAUGUUAGGAUCACUGAGCUUGGGUUUUAAUAUCUGUAUGUAUGGGACUGGGUUUUAGAAAAUGAAUUUUCUCAUGACCAAAAUAUUAGUCCUCCUUUUUUCCCUUAGAUGUAAGGGGAAAUUUUACAAGUAAGCUCAGUUAAUUUUGGGAGGGCCAUCUGUGAAAUCUCAGGCAUUUAUGGCAUAAACUCAAAUGUUCUCUUCUUUCGAUUUCCUGGAAUGGUGAACAUGGAGUGUCUUAACUUGUGUAUUGAGCAUGGUUUAGGAGUCUGUUGUCAAUUUUACAGUCUUUUGACCUCUAUAUAUUUGGCAUGCUGAGCUUCUUGCCAUUGAUCUAAAGUACCAGGCCCAUUCAUACACAUUGUAUACUUUCCACACCUUGCUGAGAAUUCUCUUCCCUUUCCUUUUCAUCUGAAAAAUUCCCACUCAGUUUUCAAGUACCAAUUCACAUGUCUCCAGCAGUGUGAAGCUUUACACUUCCUUUUGGCCGGAUAAGUUGCUCAUUCUGUCCUCCUUGCUCACAUGGCACUUUGUCAGCUUCUCUAAAUUGUACUAGCCAAACACUGUCAUAAUCCAUUUACACAUAAGUCUCUCCCAAAAGGUCAAUUUCUGAGGGCCAGGGACCAUUUCCAGCUGUAUUUCUCCUCCUUCCCUGGCUCAUUCCCUAUUUCUCCUCACUUCCGCUUCUCCAAGAUUGUAUCCCAAUAAAAUGUUAGCUCAUAAA
rnacentral:lncRNA from 1 species